UCUUGGUCAUUUAGAGGAAGUAAAAGUCGUAACAAGGUUUCCGUAGGUGAACCUGCGGAAGGAUCAUUAGAUGCAAGCUUUGACGCCCGAGAUCUUGGCCACCUCUGAGAUGGGGUGGUUCCUCUCUCCGUCCAAAUCGCAUAACCAAACUGUGAACCCACCUUUUGCUUCGGCAGCAGGGAGUCUGUGUCGGCCCGCCUCGUCGCGGUGUCCCUCCUUCGCCUGUCAGCCUGCCGGAAGCCCACAAACCAAACCAUAUUGUAGAAACGUUCUAGUCUGAGAGUGAUAAACAAACAAAACAAGUUAAAACUUUCAACAACGGAUCUCUUGGUUCUCGCAUCGAUGAAGAACGCAGCGAAACGCGAUAGGUAAUGUGAAUUGCAGAAUUCAGUGAAUCAUCGAAUCUUUGAACGCACAUUGCGCUCCCUGGCAUUCCUAGGAGCAUGUCUGUCUGAGCGUCAGUACACACCCUCCGCUCCCUUUCUUUGUUGAAGGGCUGAGUGGGUUCUGAGCGGGGAAGAGCCCUCUGGGUUCACUCCCCCUCUAAAGUGGAAUGACAGCGGCCCGCCUGCCCGUGAAAGACGUAGUAAGAUCUCAAUCAGAAUCGUCCGCGAAGGGGUGACGGAAGAGGCCUGCCUUGAAACUCAAAUCUGAAGGUUUGACCUCAGAUCAGACAAGAAUACCCGCUGAACUUAAGCAUAUCAAUAAGCGGAGGAAAAGAAACCAACAGGGAUUGCCUUAGUAACGGCGAGUGAAGCGGCAAGAGCUCAAAUUUGAAAUCUGGCUCCUUUGGAGUCCGAGUUGUAAUUUGAAGAGGAAUCUUCGGUUCGGACCACGAUCUAUGUUCCUUGGAACAGGACGUCGUAGAGGGUGAGAAUCCCGUACACGGUUGAUGGUCUCGUCCCAUGUGAAGUUCCCUCGAAGAGUCGAGUUGUUUGGGAAUGCAGCUCUAAAAGGGUGGUAAAUGUCAUCUAAAGCUAAAUACCGGCGAGAGACCGAUAGCGCACAAGUAGAGUGAUCGAAAGAUGAAAAGCACUUUGAAAAGAGAGUUAAAAAGUACGUGAAAUUGUUGAAAGGGAAGCGCUUGCAAUCAGACUUGCUCUGGGUUGAUCAACGUACCUUCUGGUGCGUGCACUCGGCCCUCCGCAGGCCAGCAUCGGUUCGGACGGCGGGACAAAGACCGAGGGAAUGUGGCUCUCUUCGGGGAGUGUUAUAGCCCACGGUGCAAUGCCGCCAGAYCGGACCGUGGACCGCGCUUCGGCUAGGAUGCUGGCGUAAUGGUUGUAAGCGACCCGUCUUGAAACACGGACCAAGGAGUCUAACAUCUAUGCGAGUGUUUGGGUGUCAAACCCAUGCGCGUAAUGAAAGUGAACGGAGGUGGGAGCCCUCACGGGUGCACCAUCGACCGAUCCUGAUGUCUUCGGAUGGAUUUGAGUAGGAGCAUAGCUGUUGGGACCCGAAAGAUGGUGAACUAUGCCUGAAUAGGGUGAAGCCAGAGGAAACUCUGGUGGAGGCUCGCAGCGGUUCUGACGUGCAAAUCGAUCGUCAAAUUUGGGUAUAGGGGCGAAAGACUAAUCG
rnacentral:rRNA from 1 species